AACGCACGAGACCUGCGGACCUGCGGAAGGAUCAUUACUGAGUGAGGGCCCCUCGGGGUCCAACCUCCCACCCGUGUUUAACGAACCUUUGUUGCUUCGGCGGGCCCGCCUCACGGCCGCCGGGGGGCUCCUGCCCCCGGGCCCGCGCCCGCCGAAGCCCCCCCUUGAACGCUGUCUGAAGUUUGCAGUCUGAGAAACUAGCUAAAUUAGUUAAAACUUUUAACAACGGAUCUCUAGAUC
rnacentral:misc_RNA from 1 species